CUGGGGUCAGGCCCCACCAGGCUCAUCGCCCAAAUGCAGGCCAAUGAUGUUCUACAAAAAGUAUCUGCUGCAAAAUCAUCAAAGCCAUUGUUUCCAAUCCUCUGUUCUUCAAUCCUCCAAGAAUAAUAAAAGCUGUCUCCUCCAGGGCCCCAACAAGAAGCAAACAGAGCAAAAAACAACAUCAGAAAAGAAGAGGUCCCAAGCUCACUAUCUUUUGCUAGAAACACAUUAUCUUCCUGAGGUCCUCCGAGAAGCAGAUCUUGAGAUAAAAGAGAAGACAAGAUGAUGGAUCCCCUCAGAUUUGACGAUCUGUGAGUCAAAGUGGUGCUAGGUGAGCCAGAACCAUGACACGCAUGAGCAGAAUGAGAAGCCAGGCCACAUGGCAUAGAAACCAGAUGGACAGAGAGGAGCCAAGAUUCAGCUACAGACAUAUCAGAAACCAAAAAGUACGCACAAAUGGAAGCAGCAGAACCCCAUGCUGGGAAGGCCUAAUA